UUGAACGCUGGCGGCAUGCCUUACACAUGCAAGUCGAACGGCAGCACGGGUGCUUGCACCUGGUGGCGAGUGGCGAACGGGUGAGUAAUACAUCGGAACAUGUCCUGUAGUGGGGGAUAGCCCGGCGAAAGCCGGAUUAAUACCGCAUACGAUCCACGGAUGAAAGCGGGGGACCUUCGGGCCUCGCGCUAUAGGGUUGGCCGAUGGCUGAUUAGCUAGUUGGUGGGGUAAAGGCCUACCAAGGCGACGAUCAGUAGCUGGUCUGAGAGGACGACCAGCCACACUGGGACUGAGACACGGCCCAGACUCCUACGGGAGGCAGCAGUGGGGAAUUUUGGACAAUGGGCGAAAGCCUGAUCCAGCAAUGCCGCGUGUGUGAAGAAGGCCUUCGGGUUGUAAAGCACUUUUGUCCGGAAAGAAAUCCUUGGCUCUAAUACAGUCGGGGGAUGACGGUACCGGAAGAAUAAGCACCGGCUAACUACGUGCCAGCAGCCGCGGUAAUACGUAGGGUGCAAGCGUUAAUCGGAAUUACUGGGCGUAAAGCGUGCGCAGGCGGUUUGCUAAGACCGAUGUGAAAUCCCCGGGCUCAACCUGGGAACUGCAUUGGUGACUGGCAGGCUAGAGUAUGGCAGAGGGGGGUAGAAUUCCACGUGUAGCAGUGAAAUGCGUAGAGAUGUGGAGGAAUACCGAUGGCGAAGGCAGCCCCCUGGGCCAAUACUGACGCUCAUGCACGAAAGCGUGGGGAGCAAACAGGAUUAGAUACCCUGGUAGUCCACGCCCUAAACGAUGUCAACUAGUUGUUGGGGAUUCAUUUCCUUAGUAACGUAGCUAACGCGUGAAGUUGACCGCCUGGGGAGUACGGUCGCAAGAUUAAAACUCAAAGGAAUUGACGGGGACCCGCACAAGCGGUGGAUGAUGUGGAUUAAUUCGAUGCAACGCGAAAAACCUUACCUACCCUUGACAUGGUCGGAAUCCUGCUGAGAGGCGGGAGUGCUCGAAAGAGAACCGGCGCACAGGUGCUGCAUGGCUGUCGUCAGCUCGUGUCGUGAGAUGUUGGGUUAAGUCCCGCAACGAGCGCAACCCUUGUCCUUAGUUGCUACGCAAGAGCACUCUAAGGAGACUGCCGGUGACAAACCGGAGGAAGGUGGGGAUGACGUCAAGUCCUCAUGGCCCUUAUGGGUAGGGCUUCACACGUCAUACAAUGGUCGGAACAGAGGGUUGCCAACCCGCGAGGGGGAGCUAAUCCCAGAAAACCGAUCGUAGUCCGGAUUGCACUCUGCAACUCGAGUGCAUGAAGCUGGAAUCGCUAGUAAUCGCGGAUCAACAUGCCGCGGUGAAUACGUUCCCGGGUCUUGUACACACCGCCCGUCACACCAUGGGAGUGGGUUUUACCAGAAGUGGCUAGUCUAACCGCAAGGAGGACGGUCACCACGGUAGGAUUCAUGACUGGGGUG
rnacentral:rRNA from 1 species